rnacentral:lncRNA from 1 species
AUGGAUAUUCUGAGGAUCCUGGCAAUUGUGGGGACAUUCUGCCUCAUCUCUUAUGAGAUUGUGUCUGCUGUUAGAAGUCGACUACCUGACGAACCGGGCCUCAUCUACCACAGAGACCAGCUGGUGCAACUUGGAUUACAAACCCACCUCAUGACAAACACGGACUGCUUUCCAGAAGAAAUCAUUCGCAAAAACUUCUCCAACCAGCAAAGACCUACAUGCAAUAAGACCAGUUACACUGAUGAAAGAACCACUAGGACCAGUGCUUCAACAUCAGAGGCAGCAGCAGAGCAGGCCAGGGUCAUGGUUGAGGCAGCCCAGGGAGCAGAGCAGAGCCAGGAAGAGCCAGUAGAAGGAGAAAGGCAGAUGCAGGAUGCAACACAGCCUCCCCCACCAAAGAAGACAGCGUUGGAAGAUCUCCUUGGGAGCUCCUACACUACUGUUGGGACAGUGCAGACCAGCAGAGGGAUUGAAAUGGAGAUAAUCUCCUACAGGAGUGGGAUUCCCAUCCCACUCAACAGAAGUCCACCUGAGUGGUGGAAAGUUAAUGCUUAUGCUUACCCCAUACUUGCCCCCCUUGCCAAAGCCUACCUUUGCAUUCCUGUUACAUCAGUGCCCAGUGAGCGUGUCUUUUCCACAGCAGGAGACAUUGUGUCUGCUCAAAGAUCACUGAUUACACCAGAACAUGUUGAUAUGUUAGUUUUUUGAAGAAGAACCAGUCCUGAGAUAAGUUAAUCAAGGCCUAUAGCAGCACUAAGGGUAUUCCUGUUUGUGUUUGGCCUGUUAGGCCUUGUGUUUCCCUGUGUGCAACUGGAAAAAAAAUAAACAAGUAGUUAUUAUACAGUAAUAUUUUUUCCUUUUUUUUUCUUAUCUGAUAUCGUAUCGUGACGUAUCGUUUCGUGACUCAGACAUAUCAAGGUGCAUUGUUUCGUGAGUUUAAGUAGACCGUCCCAUUCCUAUUGCAUGUACUUAAGGUUUUAAAUAUCACAAUAAAGACUGCACACCGAUUUUAAAAAAGAACAUUUUAGAGCGGGGUCGGCAACCUGUUCCCAUCAAAGAGCCAUUAUUACCCAUUUCCCACAGUAAAGAAAACACUGGGAGCCACAGCAGCCGUGGCAUUGUGGGCGGGGCCUAUCCUCAGACAGCAGAGCGCUGCUCACAACAGGUGACAGCAGCCGGUACCGGUCGCUCGUGUACGUCAAAGUUAUCUUUCAUAAGAUGAUAAUCAAUAAAAUGAUUUAUAUAAAGUAGAUCCAGAAGUUGUAGCCCGUCUCUGCCUACAAUAUUUUGAUAUUUUCACCCUGUUGGUGGUUUUUCUGAGCAGGUGCCACUUUUGUCAUACGUUUCUUUUUAAAACAUGUUUAGACUGUUCAGAAUACAAAUCCAGGCUCUGUCACAUUUGAUUGUUGUACUUAAACUUUGUAGGUGGGGAAGGUCCGAAAAGGAUCCGAUCAUUUUGUUUUUCCCUCAUUUACAGCGACGGAGAUAACGGCGCAGUGCGCCUGGCUCUGGUGUUAAUCAAGUUUAAUUUUAUCUCUUUGCAACAAUUUUCACAAGAAAACAGAACAGUUAAAAGCAGGGCUUGUGUUGACCGGAUAGUUCCCAUAUUUGACCAUUUAUUUUGACGGAGAAAGAAUAGAAAGAAUUACCCCGACGCAUGCAGACGAACUGACAUUUUAUUCNNNNNNNNNNNNNNNNNNNNNNNNACUUUAUUCGUUUCGCACAUCGCAGAUGUAGCUAAAUCACUCAAGAAAAGAUUCCCAUCUGAACAUCUGAGCUGGACACUGCUCAGCGCAGCUCACUGUCGGUGCGUACGUCCGGCGCACAGCGAGCUGAAGAUGUGGAGAGGGGCUUGGAGCGCGUCGCAGAACCAGAGCGCAUGCAGGAAGAUUCCUCCCACUGAAGCGAGACUUGUCACUUAGAAAAUGUUCCCUGAUUAUGAAACUUUGGCUGAAUAGUGCUCUUUCCUGUCUCCAACGUGGCGACACAUCCAGGAGCCGUCUGAGGAGAGUCCCAGAAUCACACAUCCUCGUCAGCUCAGAAUGCACCUAUGAUUACGCACGAGCGUGACCCGUCAACCCGGUCUCACAGUAAGACCGGGUUGGACCUGUUCAGGUUUACGUAGACAAUCUUUACAUUUAGAAUUGGCAUAAAGAUGUCAAAUUAAUUCAGUAAAAUGUAAUGCUUUUUAUUUAAAUAUCCGUUCAUUAUUUUACAAGCACGGAGAGCCGCAUCAGAUGGAUGGAAGAGCCGCAUCAUGCGGGUUGCCGACCCCUGUUUUAGAGGAAUCACAACAUUAUUGCAUGUCUUUAUUUUACUGCAAAAACGUCUAAUCAUGAUGACAAACAACUUCUGAACUCUUCCUGACCCAGGCCAUGUUCACACACAGAAUAUUUAUUAAAUAUUUUAAAAAAUAAAGACUUAGCCUUUUUUUUUUGGCCAUUUUCAUCUAAGUGAUUUUAUUUUUGACAGACCUUUCACAAAAUGAGCUACUUGGCUCUUGUGAAACUGACUAAAACCUGAUGGUGAUGCGUAUUGCAGCUAUUAACAAAAAUAGGUAAAAAUGCAUCACAGAUAUCAUAAUUAGCCCACCCUGAAAAGCUCUCAGAGUUCCUAUAAAAUCUGCAGCAUGUACCAGAAUAUGACAACAAACAGUCCUGAUAGUGUUAUUUUUACUCCUGACUGCAGAUUCACUGUCACAGGAAGACAUGUGGAGCCCACACAUGAUGACUUAUAAACAUAACCCUGUGGCACAAACCAAACAACCCAAAGGAAGAGGUAAUUAAGAUACACCUCCUGACAUUCAUUUCUGUAACAAACAGCCAAACCGAGCGUGACUUCUGGAAAAUCAAAUCAAAUGAAUUCUGGCUAAAAGACUGAAUUUGUACUCAGCUGAAGCAGAGCAUGGGGAUGACUGUCUAGCUCGUCACAGAAAACGCUGCUGAACUGAGAAAAGAUAAGAGCAGUUGAGCUGAUGAAUAAUUUUCACGUGUCGCCGAUGUAGAAAAAGGUGAACGAGGGGCAGCAGAGCUAGAAUGACCACAAGGAUCUAAAGCACCAAAUCACUGCCUUUUUAUCUGAUGUUACCUUGCAAGAAAUUAAUCAAGAAUGGGAAGAUUAUAGUGAUUAAAAGGCAAGAGAGGGGUUCACUAAACAAGAAAUAGCUAUUUUAGACUAUGACGUCUUUUUCUGUGACUCUAAUCAGUUUGAAAUGGACAUGUGUCUUUGGCGCGAUUUAAAGCUUUCGAGUCUUUCCACCUUCCCUAUCUCAAAAGUCCUGGCUCAGCCUUAAGCCUUACAUCUGCAGGCAGAAAGGUAAUGUGAAUUCAGAUGUAAAAGUUUGAUCAGAACACGCUGACUCCUUAAUUGCAGCUGACACGAAGGUCUGUGAUCAGAUCCCAACAAGGGGUACAAAGGGCCCAUCGCUCAGCAGGAUAACAGUCAAUUUACGGUCAUUCCUGUUGUUGGAAUGUUCACGUCGGAUCAACAGGACAUUUCCAUGACCUGUUAAAAUAAUUAGAGCUUGUCAACAACAUAGUACAUCUGGAAACUUUAUCAGUGUGAAAAUAAAGAUCUUUUUGUGAGCAGACAUCUCGAGUUGCCCUCCUGCACCUUGAUAACACGAUGUAUACAUCAAAAUACUUCCAACAAUCCCAGACAUUAUGGAGGCCAUAUCAUGUCAAAUACACUUUCUGGAGCUUUUUAGCAUGUAAUAUUGUUGUUCCCUCAUGAAAAAUACACCCAAAGUUAUUUUUGGCUGCAUUCAUGCAUUUUCCUGUUUCAGUUGCAAACUUUGAAUUUUAUUUUGACAUUCCUGAAAUGGCAAAAUGUAAAAGUUGUAUGUCAUCCUGCUCCCAACGUCCGACUCCUCUCUAGGAACCUGGUUGGUCUGAAACCUGUCUGCCCUGGCCAGUUUAGGACAUCUAGCAUUGGCAGCAAGUGUCAUGUUACAGACUUGACAGUCGAGUGGUUAGUGUUGGAUGCAAGCAGCUAAAAAUAUUUUGACACACUUCAGUUUUUGAUCGUGAUGUGAUGGUAGGAAUUUUGAUCCAACACACGGAGACUAUAGUUGAGUACUGUACAGUCAAUCGAAGGGAUUAUUCAGUCAGUUAAAAAGCCUAAGUGACUUUUUGCAAGUAGGUCACAAGCAGGAAUGGCAACAGAUGAAGAGCCGG